rnacentral:rRNA from 1 species
GACGAACCGUGCAAACGUUGUUCGGAAUCACUGGGCUUAAAGGGCGCGUAGGCGGGCAAGCAAGUCGAAGGUGAAAUCCCACGGCUCAACCGUGGAAGUGCCCCCGAUACUGCUUGUCUUGAGGGAGAUAGGGGCGUGCGGAACUUCCGGUGGAGCGGUGAAAUGCGUAGAUAUCAUCAGGAACACCGGAGGCGAAGGCGGCCCACUGGGUCUUUUCUGACGCUGAGGGACGAAAGCUAGGGGAGCGAACGGG